rnacentral:rRNA from 1 species
GACGAACGCUGGCGGCGUGCUUAACACAUGCAAGUCGAACGGAAAGGCCCUGCUUUUGUGGGUUGCUCGAGUGGCGAACGGGUGAGUAACACGUGAGUAACCUGCCCUUGACUUUGGGAUAACUUCAGGAAACUGGGGCUAAUACCGGAUAGGAGCUCCUGCUGCAUGGUGGGGGUUGGAAAGUUUCGGCGGUUGGGGAUGGACUCGCGGCUUAUCAGCUUGUUGGUGGGGUAGUGGCUUACGAAGGCUUUGACGGAUAGCCGGCCUGAGAGGGUGACCGGCCACAUGGGGACUGAGAUACGGAGCAGACGCGUACGGGCGGCAGCAGUGGGGAACAUGGCACAAUGGGCGGAAGCCUGAUGCAGAAACGCCGCGUGCGGGAUGACGGCCUUCGGGUUGUAAACCGCUUUCGCCUGUGACGAAGCGUGAGUGACGGUAAUGGGUAAAGAAGCACCGGCUAACUACGUG